UAAGCAUAUGAAUAAGCGGAGGAGUAGAAACUUACGAGGAUUCCCUUAGUAACCGCGAGCGAAACAGGAAAGGCCCAGCAUGAGAAUCGGGCUCCCCUCUGGUUGCUCGAAUUGUAGUCUGUAGAAGCUUCCCUGGCACCAAACUGAGCCAGAGUCCCUUAGAAUGGGGCACCAUGGAGGGUGAGAGUCCCUUGAGGCUUGGAACCUGACGCAAUGCGGGGUGCUAUCGCAGAGUUGGGCUGUUUGGGAGUAUAGCCCCAAUGGGGCGGUAAGUUUUGUCCAAGGCUAAAUACACACGAGAAACCGAUAGCGAAUAAGUACCGCGAGGGAAAGAUGAAAAGGACUUUGGAAAGAGAGUUAAAGAAUGCUUGAAAUUACCGGGAGGGAAGCAAAUGAAGGCCAAUGCUCCAUUUGAGGCGGAUACGGGACAUGGAGAUGUCGUCCCACUGCUCGGAUUCGGACGGAGAGCCGCACGGGCCUUGGUGGCCACAAAAGUGCUAGGGAGAGCCUCUUAGCAUGUCGUCAUUGAUAGGGUCGAGGCUCAUAGCAUGCGUACUUGUGUGGGAUGUCGUGGGCCUGCAUGCUCGAGGUGUGGAUAGUGGGCCUUCCAUUCGCUUGUCUUAAAACACCGAUCAAGGAGUCUAACAAGUGUGCGAGUCGUGGAGUGAUGAAACUUGCACGGCAAAAGGAAGCUGAGAGGCGGAACCCUGCCAUAGCGGUGGGAGCACCGUCCACCGACCACGAUCUUCUAGAGAAUGGUUCGAGUGGUAGCAUGCUUGAUGGGACCCGAAAGAUGAUGAACUAUGCCUAAGCAGGGUGAAGCCAUAGGAAACUCUAGUGGAGGCCCGUCGCGAUACUGACAUGCAAAUCGUUCGUCUGACUUGGGUAUAGAGGCAAAAAACUAAUCGAACCAUCUAGUAGUUGGUUCCCUCCAAAGUUUCCCUUAAGAUAGCUGGAGCUCGCGAUGGACUUUUAUCAGGUAAAGCAAAUGAUUAGAGGCAUCAGGGGCGUAACAACCUCAACCUAUUCUCAAACUUUAAUUAGAUAAGACGGUGUUACUACUUUAUUGAGCGGCAUCUUGGAAUCGAGAGCUCGGAUGGGCCAUUUUUGGUAAGCAGAAUUGGCGAUGCAGGAUGAACCGAAAGCCGGGUUAUGGUGUCAAACUGCAUGCUAACCUAGAUCCCACAAAGGGUGUUGGUUGAUUAAGACAGCAGGACGAUGGUCAUGGAAGUCGAAACGCACUAAGGAGUGUGUAACAAUUCACUUACCGAAUCAACUAGCCCCGAAAAUGGAUGGCACUUAAGCUCGUGACCUACACCCGGUCGUCUGGGCGAAUGCGAUGCCCGGAUGAGUAGGAGUGCACGGGGAUCGCAGAGAAGCCCCUGGCGUAAGCUGGGGUGAACUGGCCUCUAGUGCAGAUCUUGGUGGUAGUAGCAAAUAUUCAAAUGAGAACUUUGAGGGCUAAAGUGGAGAAAGGUCUCAUGUGAACAGCACUUGCACAUGGGUUAGUCGAUCCUAAGUGACGGGGAAGCCCCAGGUGAAGGGAUGCGUCUCGCGUGAGUGCUCUAAAGGGAAUCAGGUUAACAUUCCCGAACUAGGACGUGGCGGUAGAUGGUGACGUCAGGAAAUCCAGAGACACCGGCGAGAACCCUGGGAAGAGUUAUCUUUUCUUCUUAAUAGCCCAUCCACCAUGAAAUCGGAUCAACCGGAGAUAAGGUCUAGCGGCUGGAAGAUCACUGCACGUCUAGCGGUGUCCGAUGCGCCCUCGGCGGCCCUUGAAAAUCUGGAGAACUGAGUGCUGUUCAUGCCCGGUCGUACUCAUAACAGCAUCAGGUCUCUAAGGUAAACAACCUCUGGUCAAUAGAACAAUAUAGGUAAGGGAAGUCGGCAAAACGGAUCUGUAACCUCGAGAAAAGGAUUGGCUCUGGGGGUUGAGCCUAGGGGUUUGCGGCCUGAAGCUAGCAGCUGCUAUAGGCGUGUCAGAGCCGCUUCCAUGGAGAAGGCGGGCCUGCACGUGCCGGUCAGGCAAAGGAAGCAGAACGCUUCCCCUCGCCCCCCAGGGUGGGGGAGGCUUGCCCUUGGCAAGGAAAAACCGUCUCAGAACUGGCUCAAACAAGGGGAAUCCGACUAUCUAAUUAAAACAAAGCAUUGCGAUGGUCCUUGCAUACGCUGACGCAAUGUGAUUUCUGCCCAGUGCUCUGAAUGUUAAAGUGAAGAAAUUCAACCACGCGCGGGUAAAUGACGAGAGUAACUAUGAAUCUCUUAAGGUAGCCAAAUGCCUCGUCAUCUAAUUAGUGACGCGCAUGAAUGGAUUAACGAGAUUUCCACUGUCCCUAUCUACUAUCUAGUGAAACCAUAGCCAAGGGUACAGGCUUGGCAGAAUUAGCGGGGAAAGAAGACCCUGUUGAGCUUGACUCUAGUCCAACUUUAUGAAAUGACUUAAGAGGUGUCGNNNNNNNNNNNNNNNNNNNNNNNNNNNNNNNNNNNNNNNNNNNNNNNNNNNNNNNNNNNNNNNNNNNNNNNNNNNNNNNNNNNNNNNNNNNNNNNNNNNNUAAGAUGAGCUCAACGAGAAUAGAAAUCUUGUGUGGAACAAAAGGGUAAAAGCCCAUUUGAUUUUGAUUUCCAAUGCGAAUACAAAUCAUAAAAGCGUGGCCUAUCAAUCCUUUAGACUUUUGGAACUUGAAGCUAGAGGUGUCAGAAAAGUUACCACAGGGAUAACUGGCUUGUGGCAUUCAAGCGUUCAUAGCGACGUUGCUUUUUGAUCCUUCAAUGUCGGCUCUUCCUAUCAUUGUGAAGCAGAAUUCACCAAGUGUUGGAUUGUUCACCCACCAAUAGGGAACGUGAGCUGGGUUUAGACCGUCGUGAGACAGGUUAGUUUUACCCUACUAAUGACCCGUGCCACCAUAGUAAUUCAACCUAGUAUGAGGGGAACCAUUGACUCACAUAAUUGGUCAUCGCGUUUAGUAUGAGAGGAAGCUACCAUGUGUCGGAUUAUGACUGAAUGCCUCUAAGUAAGAAUCCAUGCUAAGCGCGGCGCGCUAGCCUCCCCGCUUGCCGAUAGCCCACUGAUAAGAACGCCCUGAGCAUUUCACGUGGCAUGUGUCAGGGCGCACUCCAUGCGUCGCCUGUUGGAAUAACACAUGGAGUCCUCGAAGAGAAACUUCUCUCAAGCAUGGAGUGGAAUCCUUUGCAGACGACUUAAAUAUGCGAUGGGGUAUUGUAAGUGGCAGAGUA
rnacentral:rRNA from 1 species